GGCGGGAAGAGGGAAGAUUUGUUGACCAUCAGGUGUCCUGAAUUGUCUUAAGCAGAGGAGGCCUGUGAGAAAAAGAAGCAAGAGACAAGGAAGUGGGAGCCAGGGCCCCGUCCAAGGGGGCUGGACCCUAAUUCAAAGACAGUGGGACCAUGGCUUCUGUGUCCAGUGCGGGGGUGUAGGGGCUGUGCUUCCAAAGGACACAGCCCAGACUGAAGGGGAUGGUCAGAGACGGGUCAUAGAAUCCAUCCUCUCACAACGCAGCAGAUGCCUGGCCCACUGCCAAGGUCGUGGGAAAGGGAGCGACCAGAGAUGGGGUGGGGGGCGCAGAGAGCUCCAGCAGAGAGGCGAACGAGAGCAGGGGCAGCGAGGGCUGUGGGAGAUGGAAAUCCACCUUCUCCAUGAGGGGGUGGGAUGGUGCUUAUACAGGACACCACCCGUAAAACAAAAAAGAGAAAAAGAAAAGGUGGGAUGAUAAAGUCCUUCUGGUCAUUUUACAAAAAAGUCCUGCAGGAGAGGAAAACCCUGUAGGAAAGGAGACUGGGGGUUGGGGGCUGGGGUUUGAGGUGGGCUGCAGGGCAGGAGGAGAGGAGGGGUUGGAGGUCGAGGGGAGGGGCGUGGGUGAGGGGGAGCAGGCGGGCCUCCGAGGAAAGCCUCCAGAGUCUGCCCCUUGGCCUGGGGGGACUGGUGACUAAAGCGGUCUCAAUGAGGGGCAGUACGUGGUGAGGAACAAAGUCCGGGGGGAUGUUAGGAGCUCAACUGCACUGAAUCAGAUCCUCUUGAAUGUAGCACAGUCGGCGGCAUCAGAUGAGAUAGUGAAAAGAGAAUUCCAUUCAGGUGGUUCACCUGCAGAGACUUGAAAGAGGGUGUGGGCAGAACUAAAGAGACUAACCCCCAGAGACCAGCAACAGCCGAAGCCACCCACCCCGGGCCUGAGCAGAGGGCAGUGAAGGUGGGACUGCGGCCCCAGAGAGGGCGGUCACACGGUCAUCAAUGUAGGGCCAGCACGGGGAUGGACAGAGAAGAAACACCCCAACUUCUCCCCCACUGCGGGCUCCUGGGUAGUGCUCACUGACUGAUCACAACAGAGAGUGGGGCGCGAGGCAGCCCAGGUGAUGUGAUUGUUCGGGACCACAGCCCUCCCAGGUGCCAAGCAAGGCAGGGAAGGGAUUUGAGGGCAGAGCAAAUGGAGAUGAACUGACACACACAGCUUGCAAGCAGCUUUCCCCCGAAUCCAUCAGAACACGAUGAUGUCGCUGGUGUGUGAUCCACACUGCUCUUCUCUCUGUGCGGGGGCAAUCAAGAGUAGAAGGAAGAGUUUCUCAGGACAUUGAAGUCAUUCUGCUUGUCAUCACCAAAAAUGUGCCGAGGCAGGAGAGAGGAGAAAGCCAUACUUGCGGAGCGCCUGUCUGAUGAGACGCUGUCAGGUCCGAGGGAGCGGAGAGAGGCUGAAAUGGCGGAGUCUGUUUCAUCAUGACCCUGCACCUUGUCCCUGAGACGAUGCGACACACAAACUGCUGGUUAUGAAUGUGUCAAUGUUUCCAUAGCCUCUGUACACAAGAGGAGUCAGCUGGAAAAGUAUGAACUCUGUGUCCAUAGCGUUCUGCUUAUUUAUCAUUUGCAAAAAGAUUAAGAGGAUAGUCCAGGGAUUUCUUCUUGGAGAAGAAAUGGAGAGAGAGUGAGAGGGCAUUUAUCUCAUCUCUAGGAAGAAAUCAGGGAGAACAGAAAGUUAAAGACUGCCAGGCAAUUCUCCAUCUCUCCAAACCUCAGGGGUUUUAGGACCAUAGGGUUUUAGAGCCAGAAGAGAUCUUGGAGGGAGCUGGGGCGACCAGGUGGCAGCCGGCAUCAGUGAGAGGUCCCAGGC
ensembl:lncRNA